AAUGAAAAAUAAAAAGAAUAUCUUGCGGCUCAUCUAUUUCUCAUCCAUACCUAUACCUAUAUUUCAUACUUGUUAUAAACACUGUGUAGAUGCUAUUUUUGUUUGCUUAGUAAUUGCAAUUUUCUAAACCUUUAAGAGAAUAGUGAUUUAGAACAAAUCAUCAUAAAAGAAAUAUUUUACGUGUCCCUGCUAUUCUUUAAUGCUUAUAUCAAUUAUAAAUAACAGUUCAGUAUCCUAAAAAGACAGACAACUAGUCUAGAAAAGAAGUUUUUAACUCGAUUGCACAUUAGAAAUACCUAGAUAGGGAGUGAGGGGUGGGAGUAAUUUUGAAAAAAUAUGAUUUUAGAGCCCCCAUAGACCAGUUAUAUCAUAAUCUCUGAGGUGGGCCCAGGGUGUCAGAAUUUUUUACAUGCCCCUCUGUCAAUGAUUUUAAUGUAUAGCUGGAGUUUACAACUGUUGACCUUGAAUAGAUGAUUGUUUACUGCACUAUGGUUUCUGAUCAUUGCUCAACUGCUUUCUCAACAGCCAGCUCAUUCAGUAAUACAAGAAUUUAACAAACCAUUAAUUGUUAAUUCAAAAAAUAAUAUUCCUUAUUCUAACAGGAUUAUUUGGGCUCUGAGAAUUUUUUUUUUUUUUCCAUCAGCAGUCUUAAGUCAGCCAUUAGUUUGUUUUAUGGCUACAUUCAUCUUUGAAUUCUUAAUAAUUAGAGAAGUAGAACAGUUCCCUAAGUCCUUGGUAUUUUUUAAUGUGAAGGGAAGGUGAGCAUCUGGCUGUCUGAAAAAAAAAAGUUGUAGGUUGGGGAUUUGAGUUUUGAAGUUCCCUUUUGAAUUCUAAUAAGCUGGCUUAUUUUGAAAUCUCUAUUUUAAAACUAAAACCAUGAUAUAACUUUAGAUUUUUCUCUCAAAUUCUUCAACAAUUCUUAAAUGUCAGCAUUUUAUUUCCACCGUGAAAUAAAUAAGACUCAGAGGUUUUUUUAUUAACUUCUCCCCUAGAAAAUUCAGUAAUAAAACUUAAAUUUAUAUUCACUGAUACUGAAAAUCUCUUAUCACCGGAGGACUCUGAAAGUCAUGGUGAAAGAUAACUACUUCUAGGUCAGGACACAAAGGAGACUCAACUCUUUGGAUGGCUGAUUAAAGGAAUUAUCUUAAAUUCUACAGUCAUAACAUUGGAACAGACUUGGUUGUAAUUUAUUUAUUGAUGUAGCCAUCUGGUCUCAGGCACUAGAGGAAAGAAGGUUAUUAUAUAAUGCACAGAUGAAUCUGCACUUCUUUGCACCAAUAUAUUUGAAAGGCUUAUUUAGGGCCCACCUUGCUGCCCAAGUCGGCCCACUCUCUGACUGCAGAGCCACGAGCCCUGGGCCCACUGGUAGAUGCCAAUCUCGGAACCAUCCAGUGAGGUCUCAUUUCCCUGAACAAUGAGAAACAAAGAAAAGGCUCUCCUAAUCUUCCUCCAAGAGUGAACCACCUGCCGGAACACAUGGAGAACCCUCUCAGUGGGAGGCACUGCAUUCAAGCAUGAAACAGUGUCCAUUAUAUCCACACUAUGCAAUUCAAGACCAGGACUGAGUCUCAGGAAGGAAAGGAAAAGACAGGCGUUUCAGCGUUACAUAAGUCUUUCUGCUGAUUUGUCAUACUUGACCUCUUAUUUGUAACCCUACCAUGGAUAACAGAAUUAAAUGUAAAUUGAAACAUUGUCUCCUUAGAGAAGGAGGUGGUGCCAUCUAAUUAUGACUCCUCUUAUGUUGAGAGCUUUUUUGGCUCUGUGCUGCUCAUCAUUUCAUUUCUUAUUUGCCUGUAUUGAGACCUGGUUCCUGGAUUUCAACGUGCUCCCAUGAGAGGCAGCACUCAAGAAGGCUCCCUCAGUAGUCAGGAUGCUGCAGAGAGGGAUCUUUCAUGUAACCGAGUGGUCUUUUUCACGGUCAGUUUUAUUCUCCACUUGAAUCUAAAGUAAGCUCUGAAUGGAUAAGCAAUGGGAUCCUGCUGUAUAGCAUGGGAAUUAUGUCUGGUCACUUGUGAUGGAGCAUGAUAAUGUGAGGAAAAAAGAAUGUAUACAUGUAAGUGUGACUGGGUCACCUUGCUGUGCAGUGGAAAAUUGACAGAACACUGUAAAUCAGCUAUAAUGGAAAAAAUAAAAAUCAUUAUAAAAAAUAAGAAAAAUAAAGUAAGCACUGAUUAGAAAGCUGAUCAAAAAGCAGGAUGGUUAAAAACCACUUCUAGAACUAUGAAGGUACUUUUGUAAAAUGCAGAAAGUCUUCAUCAAAGAUCAGUGGAAGGGGAAGGCUGAGGAGGGGGCUUCCUCAUUGAAGCUGUAAUGAUGACAGCCACUGCUGACUUUGUUGAACCUCUAAUGAGGAAUCUGCUCAUUAUAAUACUUCACAGACACUGUACUGAAUCCAUAUACACGUAUUAGCCUGCUUGUGGCAGGUGAGAUAAUACGAUUAUCCUUUCUGUAUUCAGAGGCACUGAACCUGAUCUUUUAAUGAAUAGAUGCAAAAAUCUUGUGCUGAAUUCCUAUUCAAAAGAAAUCUAACUAUACUGAUUCACAGAACUGUUUUUGUUUCAUGUAUCAGAUUUAUUUUUGAUUUCUUUUUUAACAGCAUAUAUUCUUGUUUUUUAGAAUCACACAUGUGGAUUCUUCGUACAAUUUUAAUGGGAUAAUCAAGGCCAACAUAUUCUUUAAAUGCCUUAUUUAAUCUUAUUUCUUAGGGUUUCUGAAGAGCUUUCUUUUUACUAUUUUAUUUUUUUAAUUUUUUAAUUGUUAUUUCCCCAAUAUGAUUUUUUUUUUUUUUUNNNNNNNNNNNNNNNNNGAAUUGGAGCUCCUGGGAACCUCCACAUGCCAUGAGUGCGGCCCUAAAAACCAAAAAAAAAAAAAAAA
rnacentral:lncRNA from 1 species